UUCUCCCGGAAGCUGGAAGGGAAUUUAUCUGAAUAUUGGACUCUAUUAAUUCAGCACAACAAAGAGGAGGUCGCCAGUAUCCACGUGUGGAAAGCAAGACUCUCCUUGGUGUAGCCUGCCCGUCCAAAUAUGCGCCUCUUAGAUCUCACCUCCAAUGGAAACAAGGUUGGGCCAGAAGAAGAACCAGGCAGUUCUUUCCUAAUACAAACGGAUGGGAUGGAACAGAAGCCUCUUUCUGCACAGGUUUGAAGGAGGCACGGCCGCUUUCUCUGGGCUGAGUCAGAGGCUUCACCUGCACGGGGAUGAGGGGGUAGCAGCCGCGGCCCCCGUCACCCUGCAGAAGGCCCUGGGGCCGGUUGGCCCCGAGUGCCAC